GCCACCCUAGCUCAGAUGGUAGAGCAUCCGCUUUGUAAGCGGAAUCGCGUCAGUUCGAUUCUGACGGGUGGCU
rnacentral:tRNA from 1 species